rnacentral:misc_RNA from 1 species
ACAAACUUGGUCAUUUAGAGGAAGUAAAAGUCGUAACAAGGUUUCCGUAGGUGAACCUGCGGAAGGAUCAUUACUGAGGUUACCGGGGGCGAGAUUUAGGUGGCUUGCUGCUGGCGCCCUUGGGGCGUAUGUGCACGGCCGUCUGACUCGCCUUCGUUCCUUCUAUCAACCCCUGUGCACUAUAUUGGGAUUAGAGAGAAGCGCGUCGUUUAGUGUAUUUAACCUAGUAUUUGUGGGUCCUGCCCUCGGAGAAAGGUUAAUCUGUGAUCGGCGACGCGUGGUACCUCGACGUCCUUUUUAAUCACAAACCACUAUACAUGUCUUGUCAGAAUGUUCAGUCCUUAGUUGGACGCUAAAUGUAAUACAACUUUCAACAACGGAUCUCUUGGCUCUCGCAUCGAUGAAGAACGCAGC